rnacentral:rRNA from 1 species
GACGAACGCUGGCGGCGUGCUUAACACAUGCAAGUCGAACGGAAAGGCCCUGCUUUUGUGGGGUGCUCGAGUGGCGAACGGGUGAGUAACACGUGAGUAACCUGCCCUUGACUUUGGGAUAACUUCAGGAAACUGGGGCUAAUACCGGAUAGGAGCUCCUGCUGCAUGGUGGGGGUUGGAAAGUUUCGGCGGUUGGGGAUGGACUCGCGGCUUGUCAGCUUGUUGGUGGGGUAGUGGCUUACCAAGGCUUUGACGGGUAGCCGGCCUGAGGGGGUGACCGGCCAAAUUGGGACUGGGAUACGGCCCGAACUCCUACGGGAGGCAGCAGUGGGGAAAUUUGCACAAUGGGCGGAAGCCGGAUGCAGCAACGCCGCGUGCGGGAUGACGGCCUUCGGGUUGUAAACCGCUUUCGCCUGUGACGAAGCGUGAGUGACGGUAAUGGGUAAAGAAGCACCGGCUAACUACGUG